GACGAACGCUGGCGGCGGGCUUAACACAUGCAAGUCGAACGGAAAGGCCCUGCUUUUGUGGGGUGCUCGAGUGGCGAACGGGUGAGUAACACGUGAGUAACCUGCCCUUGACUUUGGGAUAACUUCAGGAAACUGGGGCUAAUACCGGAUAGGAGCUCCUGCUGCAUGGUGGGGGUUGGAAAGUUUCGGCGGUUGGGGAUGGACUCGCGGCUUAUCAGCUUGUUGGUGGGGUAGUGGCUUACCAAGGCUUUGACGGGUAGCCGGCCUGAGAGGGUGACCGGCCACAUUGGGACUGAGAUACGGCACAGACGCCUACGGGAGGCAGCAGUGGGGAAUAUUGCACAAUGGGCGGAAGCCUGAUGCAGCAACGCCGCGUGCGGGAUGACGGCCUUCGGGUUGUAAACCGCUUUCGCCUGUGACGAAGCGUGAGUGACGGUAAUGGGUAAAGAAGCACCGGCUAACUACGUG
rnacentral:rRNA from 1 species